rnacentral:rRNA from 1 species
UGGAGCUGAAGUCAGUCGAAGAUACCAGCUGGCUGCAACUGUUUAUUAAAAACACAGCACUGUGCAAACACGAAAGUGGACGUAUACGGUGUGACGCCUGCCCGGUGCCGGAAGGUUAAUUGAUGGGGUCAGCGCAAGCGAAGCUCCUGAUCGAAGCCCCGGUAAACGGCGGCCGUAACUAUAACGGUCCUAAGGUAGCGAAAUUCCUUGUCGGGUAAGUUCCGACCUGCACGAAUGGCGUAAUGAUGGCCAGGCUGUCUCCACCCGAGACUCAGUGAAAUUGAACUCGCUGUGAAGAUGCAGUGUACCCGCGGCAAGACGGAAAGACCCCGUGAACCUUUACUAUAGCUUGACACUGAACAUUGAGCCUUGAUGUGUAGGAUAGGUGGGAGGCUUUGAAGUGUGGACGCCAGUCUGCAUGGAGCCGACCUUGAAAUACCACCCUUUAAUGUUUGAUGUUCUAACGUGGACCCGUGAUCCGGGUUGCGGACAGUGUCUGGUGGGUAGUUUGACUGGGGCGGUCUCCUCCUAAAGAGUAACGGAGGAGCACGAAGGUUGGCUAAUCCUGGUCGGACAUCAGGAGGUUAGUGCAAUGGCAUAAGCCAGCUUGACUGCGAGCGUGACGGCGCGAGCAGGUGCGAAAGCAGGUCAUAGUGAUCCGGUGGUUCUGAAUGGAAGGGCCAUCGCUCAACGGAUAAAAGGUACUCCGGGGAUAACAGGCUGAUACCGCCCAAGAGUUCAUAUCGACGGCGGUGUUUGGCACCUCGAUGUCGGCUCAUCACAUCCUGGGGCUGAAGUAGGUCCCAAGGGUAUGGCUGUUCGCCAUUUAAAGUGGUACGCGAGCUGGGUUUAGAACGUCGUGAGACAGUUCGGUCCCUAUCUGCCGUGGGCGCUGGAGAACUGAGGGGGGCUGCUCCUAGUACGAGAGGACCGGAGUGGACGCAUCACUGGUGUUCGGGUUGUCAUGCCAAUGGCACUGCCCGGUAGCUAAAUGCGGAAGAGAUAAGUGCUGAAAGCAUCUAAGCACGAAACUUGCCCCGAGAUGAGUUCUCCCUGAGACUUUAGGUCUCCUGAAGGAACGUUGAAGACGACGACGUUGAUAGGCCGGGUGUGUAAGCGCAGCGAUGCGUUGAGCUAACCGGUACUAAUGAACCGUGAGGCUUAACCUUAC